rnacentral:rRNA from 1 species
UACGUAGGGUGCGAGCGUUGUCCGGAAUUAUUGGGCGUAAAGAGCUUGUAGGUGGCUCGUUGCGUCGGGAGUGAAAACCUGCGGCUUAACCGCAGGCCUGCUUCCGAUACGGGCGAGCUAGAGUUCGGCAGGGGAGACUGGAAUUCCUGGUGUAGCGGUGGAAUGCGCAGAUAUCAGGAGGAACACCGGUGGCGAAGGCGGGUCUCUGGGCCGAUACUGACGCUGAGGAGCGAAAGCAUGGGUAGCGAACAGG